AUUGAACGCUGGCGGCAGGCCUAACACAUGCAAGUCGGGCGAGCGGCGGACGGGGGAGUAAUGGAUGGGGAACUGCCUGAUGGAGGGGGAUAACUACUGGAAACGGUAGCUAAUACCGCAUACCAUCAGAUUAACCCAGAUGGGAUUAGCUUGUAGGUAAGGAAUCGGCUUAACUAGGCGAGGACCCCUAGCUGGUCUGAGAGGAUGAUCGGCUAACCUGGGACUGAGAAACGGCCCAGACUCCUAAGGGAGGAAGCAGUGGGAAAUAUUGCGCAAUGGGGGCAUGCCUGAUGCAGCCCUGUCGCGUGAAUGAAGAGGGCCUUAGGGUUGUAAAGUACUUACAGUCUGGGGGCGUUACCAACAGAGAAAGCCCCGGCUAACUCCGUGCCAGCAGCCGCGGUAAUAC
rnacentral:rRNA from 1 species